rnacentral:rRNA from 1 species
CCUACGGGCGGCAGCAGUGGGGAAUAUUGGACAAUGGGGGGAACCCUGAUCCAGCCAUGCCGCGUGUGUGAAGAAGGCCCUCGGGUUGUAAAGCACUUUCAGUGAGGAAGAACGCCUGGUGGUUAAUACCCAUCAGGAAAGACAUCACUCACAGAAGAAGCACCGGCUAACUCCGUGCCAGCAGCCGCGGUAAUACGGAGGGUGCGAGCGUUAAUCGGAAUUACUGGGCGUAAAGCGCGCGUAGGUGGCUUGAUAAGCCGGUUGUGAAAGCCCCGGGCUCAACCUGGGAACGGCAUCCGGAACUGUCAAGCUAGAGUGCAGGAGAGGAAGGUAGAAUUCCCGGUGUAGCGGUGAAAUGCGUAGAGUUCGGGAGGAAUACCAGUGGCGAAGGCGGCCUUCUGGACUGACACUGACACUGAGGUGCGAAAGCGUGGGUAGCAAACAGGAUUAGAUACCCCGGUAGUC